CAGCAUUGAUAUCUCCCACAUUGUAUGCUCCACGCGUGCGAAAAACCGAGUCCUCCCAGAUAUUACGCAGUCUACUUAAAAGCAACAUCCACAGACUCAUUCCAUCACUCAGCACUUCGGUCGUCUCACCUGCACUCGCGGUGUUCGGGAGAGGUAUAGUGAUGGAUCAGGACAAGUACUUGCCAGAGCUCAUAACCGAGAAGGAAAGCUUGGACCCGUCGUUCGUGCAUGCCUUGCGCCUUCUCGCUGAAGAAAUUGAAAAAUUUGAAGGAGAUGAGUUAAGAAAAGAUGGUGAAGUGAAGAAGUAUUUGGAUAUCAUCAGCAACAAAAACAUCAAGCUGUCAGAGAGAGUGCUGAUUCCAGUACAGCAGUAUCCUAAGUUUAAUUUUGUUGGGAAGCUGCUGGGGCCCAGGGGUAAUUCCAUGAAAAGAUUACAAGAGGAAACAGGAGCAAAGAUGUCCAUCCUCGGCAAGGGUUCGAUGAGAGACAAGGGCAAGGAGGAAGAGCUAAGGAAAAGCGGCGAGGCAAAGUAUGUCCAUUUGAGCAACGAUCUUCAUGUUUUAAUUGAGGUCUUCGCGCCACCUGGAGAGGCUUAUUCCCGCAUGAGUCAUGCCCUGGAGGAGAUAAAGAAAUUCCUUGUUCCAGACUACAACGAUGAGAUCAGGCAGGAGCAGCUUCGCGAGCUCUCUUACUUAAAUGGCUCAGAUGACCCAAGCAGAGGAAGAACGGUUCGAGGGCGUGGCUUACGUCUGGCCUCUACAGCCUCCACGCGAGGUCGAGGAGGAGCAGCUCCACCCCCUCCACCAGGACGAGCAGCAGCAGCACCCAGAGGAACUGUGGGUACACGUACCUCUGUCCCUACACCCUCUAGAGGUGUGUCUGCACCCCGGGCCAGAGGAACUCCAGGGACCCCUGGAUACAGACCCCCGCCACUGAAGGUCACGCACAAAACAUACGAGGACUACGGAUAUGAUGAUGGUUAUGAUGGGGAAUAUGAUGACGAGAGUUAUGAGGCCUAUGAUGACAAUUACAGCAACCAGUCAAAAAGCGUUUCGGAGUAUUAUGAAUACGGACACGGAAAUAAUGACGACACCUACAACAAUUACGCAGAAGAGGACUGGAUAUCAUCCCGGCCCAACCUCAAAGCUCCAGCACAAAGAGUCACUCGAGGGGGCUACAGAGAUCACCCUUAUGGUGCCAGUGUCUCUGUGAGCUGAGAUGCACUGGAUUGAAUCAGUCUCGGAGCUUCCAAUCAGUAUGUGCUGCAUACUGAUCAAACCAGUUGGUGGGAAGUGCGGAGCCUUCGUCUUAUUCAGCAGAGGUGCUUACAAACUUUCCAUGGCGGCGCUGUACGUUAGGGUUAUGUCCACCUUCAUGGACCCUAAAGCCCUUCAUCAAUCUUGGCAGAAAAUGUUUCCAUCUUUCUAUGAAAGUUGAACAAUGGUUUAGAGGAUUGAUCUCUGCCUGGAUUCACUUACAAGAGAUGACACGCUGGAUUAUCUAUUGUUCAUUAUUGUCUUAACUUUGAUCACAUCUGGUCUGAAAAUCCUGAUUCCACUGGAUGAAAUCUGGGUUAUAGUGUGGUUUACCUUAUACAGUAUUGUGAUGAAGUUGACCCAUUAUUUCAAUAUCAGCAAAAUGCAUUCUCAUGGUUAAUCCUAUGCUGUAAAGUCUCGCUUUCAUAUAAUCCUUCUUGAUCAUAGAUCCUAUUUUCUCUUAAUCUUUUCAUCCCAAAGACAAAAGGACAUAACUGGAUCAUUGCUUUUGAAGAUGUAGUGUAUUUUUGAGUGUGUCAUCUUUACUAUGUCUCAUCAAUGAUAUGGCAGUAAAUGAAACAAUUGUGAAAUUGCUAAAUGGCUUUAACCUUUAGCUUGGUAUAUUAAUUUUAGGUAGAUUUACAACCACUUGCAGUCUAAAAUCAUUUUCUGCUAUUUAUUUAAGGCCUCUGUGGUUCAGUGUUGAAUUUGUUUUGACAUCCUUCAAUAAUUCGGAUUUCAUCUAUAUCAUAUUAUUUUACACGUGAAUGUCUCUUCACGUGUUGUUUUUUGCUUUAUCUCUCUCUACAAGCAGGCUUGAUGACAUACUAAAUGAUACUAAAAGCUAAUUGGCUUUAAAGGUCAGCUCUCAUUAUCAUCAGUUAUUUAUGCGGAAGGCAAAUUUCAUUUUGGUUCACUUGUGUAUUUUGGUUGGGAGGACAUGGAUACAUAAAUAUAAAUUUAACAGGUAUCUAUUCUGAUCAAUUUAUAAAUGAGAAGAUGUUUUAUGCUGUCAGCCUCCACCGUAGAGUAUUCAUGGAGUAAUUCACAUUGGCUACUUUGCAGAAAAUAAAUAAAUAUAUUUUUAUAUUUUAUAUUAUUAACAUUUUACAAUAAGAUAGCUAACAUGACCUAACACUGAACAAUAGUUUUAUAGCUUUUAUUUAUAAUUUUUUAUACAUACUUAGUAAUUGUUCAUUUUUCACUUUCAAGAUGCACUUCGUGUUAAUCAAUGUUAACUUUUGAUUUAAAAAAUAUAUUAGUACGAUUACUAAAUGCCGUAUAAAUCAUUUUGCAAGACGUAAACAAUACUGGUCCAUUAGCACUUCCUGUGUGUGUUUAUUUAUAACACUACACAAACGUUAGAACAAAAUACAACCAACAGGACAUUUAGAACUGAAUCAAACAAAGUUUAAACUGACAAACAAAGAAGUGAAACAAACAUCUUUUAGACUUAUUUAUAUACUGUAUGUGAAAUAAAAAUAAAUAACUGAAUCAGGAAGUGCUUCUGCACCAGUUUUGUUUAUGUCUUGCAAAAUGAUCUAUAAAUAUAUAUUACAAUUGUAAGUUGUAAGUUUGAACUAAUAAACUUAACUUAUGUUAACAAUAGAAUCUGAAUGUAAAUUGUUUGUGGUUAAUUUUGGUUCACUUGUGUAUUUUGGUUGGGAGGACAUGGAUACAUAAAUAUAAAUUUAACAGGUAUCUAUUCUGAUCAAUUUAUAAAUGAGAAGAUGUUUUAUGCUGUCAGCCUCCACCGUAGAGUAUUCAUGGAGUAAUUCACAUUGGCUACUUUGCAGAAAAUAAAUAAAUAUAUUUUUAUAUUUUAUAUUAUUAACAUUUUACAAUAAGAUAGCUAACAUGACCUAACACUGAACAAUAGUUUUAUAGCUUUUAUUUAUAAUUUUUUAUACAUACUUAGUAAUUGUUCAUUUUUCACUUUCAAGAUGCACUUCGUGUUAAUCAAUGUUAACUUUUGAUUUAAAAAAUAUAUUAGUACGAUUACUAAAUGCCGUAUAAAUCAUUUUGCAAGACGUAAACAAUACUGGUCCAUUAGCACUUCCUGUGUGUGUUUAUUUAUAACACUACACAAACGUUAGAACAAAAUACAACCAACAGGACAUUUAGAACUGAAUCAAACAAAGUUUAAACUGACAAACAAAGAAGUGAAACAAACAUCUUUUAGACUUAUUUAUAUACUGUAUGUGAAAUAAAAAUAAAUAACUGAAUCAGGAAGUGCUUCU